UUAAAUUAUUAUAGAAAAGGAAUCCAUACGGACAAUAAUAUAUUAUACGAAAUAAAUUUAUUGUGUAGUCAAUAUCAAAAAAAUUAUAUAUAGUAAAGUCAUAAUGGUGAUGUAUAGUCUUGUCAACUAAUAUAUAUGCAUCAGUGCAUGUGAUAUUUUUUAUAUUGGUAUUGUAGGUAUGGCAGCUUAUCAGGGUAACUGCAUUCAGCCUAGUCCGCUCGAUCCAUCAUUAUCAUAUUUACAGCCACAACACGUAUUGUCACGACCCACUUUGUGGGCCCGUGACCGGCACUAGGGAAUGGGUAGGCUUAAGGCCACCAAAACCCGUAGUAAGCCUUACCAACCCGCAAAAUCAGAUAUACAAUUAUCAAAAUAUAAAGUAGUCAUAAUUGUCUUGCAUAAUAAAUCAUCAUAUUACCAACAUGAGUCAAAAAUCGUUAUAUAAAUUUUAAAAUUUCCUACUGCGGAUACUCUAGAGUAAUAAUGACAAGUAUAUAAGUACAAGAUAAUUACAAAAGUCCGAAGAAGAAGAAGUCGGACUGUCAAAUGUGCGAUGGCGAAGGUCUUUAACUGCCACCUGAAAAAAAAAAAAAUUUACAACUGAGACUGUCAGUCUCGAGAGUGAGUCAAAAUCAAAUAAUCUAAGGACUAUUGCAACUUUCACAUGAUAUAUUAAUUAUUCAAAACAAUAUACCAAUUUCUGAAUACAAUUGCAAUCAUAAUAUAAAAUCAUACACCAUAAUAAUAAAAUGAUAAAAGGAGAGAGUGUAAAUAAAUAAAGACAUUUUUACUUUCACGGGACGUGUGGCUAAGUAGAACCCUAACCCCAAAUUCUAACAGCCAUUUUGGCUCUCUUAAUCCAAUAAGACUGGCGCCCUGAGAGCAAUGCUCGACCAGGGACCUUACCUCCAGUCUGGUCACUUAAAUAUCCAAAUAAGAAAUCUAGUAGCCAUUCGGCUCUCUUAAUCCAAUAAGACUAGCGCCCCGAGAGCAAUGCUCGACCAGGGACCUUACCUCCAGUCUGGUCACUUAAGUAUCCAAAUAAGAAAUCUAGUAGCCAUUCGGCUCUCUUAAUCUAAUAAGACUGGCGCCCCGAGAGCAAUGCUCGACCAGGGACCUUACCUCCGGCAAUUUACACAAAUCAGCCCAGAGAGCCAUGCUCGACCAGGGCAAACCCAAAAAUAUCUUAUUACAUGUCCAUGAUCAUUACCGGUGUGCACGCGGUCCUGAUGUAACCCAUCAGGCGGCAUGUUCUACAAGCCACAUUUCCCAAUUCGCAAUCAUCACAUAUAAUAAAUAUCAUUAUCUGAUAAACUCAACCAACACAUAUCGAAAUAAAGAUUAAAGAUUUAAGGUAAAACAACGUGCAAUUUGUGAGGAGAAAAAUAAUAACGUUUAUCUUAUUAUAACAUACUAAUAAUAAUAUUUAUAUUAUUUGAAAUAUUAAUAAUCAAGUGAAAUCAUUUAUUUUGCGAUACUAAUAAUCAUAUUAAGCAUAAAUUCUAAAUAGCAUAUUAAAAUCAGAUUAGCAAUAGCGCAAAGAUUAAAUGACUUUAACUCACAGACUUGAUGCGUUCCACAGUCCGCUCCUACGCCUCGGGUGGAGCUGGCGGGAAGGCUGAAUUAUCUAAUAAUAAAAGACAUACAAUUAAUAGACAUUCGAAAAUUUUUCCUAGACUUAGACCCUAAGGUCGACUGCCUAGAAUUAAAUUGGACUCGAGGAUUCUGUCGAAAAUUUGACAGAACCUCCCCUAAAUUACGGAUAUUUACCCCCCGUAAAACGGGUCCAGGACCUGCCAAAAACAUAUCAGACAUGCUGGAAUUUAAUAACAGGAGCCGGACCACAAGAACUGCACUAAUAUUUCCCGACUCCAACACACCACAACCCAAACAAUUUAAUUUGGUUUAUUAAAACAAAAUUUUGUUCAGAGUCUAAAUAAAAUUAUACCGAGUUAAAAGUUGAAAUAUUUCGAGCGUCCAGAAAACACCGGGGUCCGGAAGCCGGUCCUGCCAACAGUGUCGGAAUUCAAAUCCGGAAGCGCCUACGCGAAGCUCAAGUUGCGGGGAGUCCGGAAGUACAAGAGUUUUGGCCGGAAAGUGGCCGGAAGGCGGCGGAUCGGGGCCGGAAAGUCGCUGCUCACGCGACACUUCCCAAGGCUGCCGGCAAGGAUUUUCCGACGGAGGAGGGUUGCUUCCGAGGUUUUUGGAGAUGGGGAGUCCGAUUCCGGCGUCGGUUUGCGGAAAGGACGCCGGCAGGAGGCCGAACCGACGAUUGCAGCCUCCCCCUAGCCUUUGGUCGACGUCGGCGGCGGCGGGAAGGAGCGGGGAGGACGGCUGCGACAACUAGCGGCGCGCAGGAGACGGGGAACGGGGGAACGGUGGGCUGCCGGAGGGAGAAGGAAGGAAAAGGAGAAGGAGAGGGGGAAGGGGAGGGAGGAAGGAAAAGAGAGAGAGAGAGGAGAAAAAGGAGA
rnacentral:lncRNA from 1 species